rnacentral:rRNA from 1 species
AACGAACGCUGGCGGCAGGCCUAACACAUGCAAGUCGAGCGAAGCCUUCGGGCUUAGCGGCGGACGGGUGAGUAACGCGUGGGAACAUGCCCUUUGGUACGGAAUAGCCCCGGGAAACUGGGAGUAAUACCGUAUGUGGUCGAGAGACGAAAGAUUUAUCGCCAAAGGAUCGGCCCGCGUUGGAUUAGGUAGUUGGUGGGGUAAUGGCCUACCAAGCCGACGAUCCAUAGCUGGUUUGAGAGGAUGAUCAGCCACACUGGGACUGAGACACGGCCCAGACUCCUACGGGAGGCAGCAGUGGGGAAUCUUAGACAAUGGGGGAAACCCUGAUCUAGCCAUGCCGCGUGAUCGAUGAAGGCCUUAGGGUUGUAAAGAUCUUUCAGUGGGGAAGAUAAUGACUGUACCCACAGAAGAAGCCCCGGCCAACUCCGUGCCAGCCGCCGCCGUAAAAC